CCGUAAGGUGGUUCAGGAACAAGGACUGGGCAAGACCGGUGCCAGCCGCCGCGGUAAUACCGGCAGUCCGAGUGAUGGCCGAUAUUAUUGGGCCUAAAGCGUCCGUAGCUUGCUGUGUAAGUCCAUUGGGAAAUCGACCAGCUCAACUGGUCGGCGUCCGGUGGAAACUACACAGCUUGGGGCCGAGAGACUCAANGGGUACGUCCGGGGUAGGAGUGAAAUCCUGUAAUCCUGGACGGACCACCAAUGGGGAAACCACGUUGAGAGACCGGACCCGACAGUGAGGGACGAAAGCCAGGGUCUCGAACCGGAUUAGAUACCCGGGUAGUCCUGGCUGUAAACAAUGCUCGCUAGGUAUGUCACGCGCCAUGAGCACGUGAUGUGCCGUAGUGAAGACGAUAAGCGAGCCGCCUGGGAAGUACGUCCGCAAGGAUGAAACUUAAAGGAAUUGGCGGGGGAGCACCACAACCGGAGGAGCCUGCGGUUUAAUUGGACUCAACGCCGGACAUCUCACCGGUCCCGACAGUAGUAAUGACAGUCAGGUUGACGACUUUACUCGACGCUACUGAGAGGAGGUGCAUGGCCGCCGUCAGCUCGUACCGUGAGGCGUCCUGUUAAGUCAGGCAACGAGCGAGACCCACACUUCUAGUUGCCAGCAACACCCNUGCGGUGGUUGGGUACACUAGGAGGACUGCCAUUGCUAAAAUGGAGGAAGGAAUGGGCAACGGUAGGUCAGUAUGCCCCGAAUGGACCGGGCAACACGCGGGCUACAAUGGCUAUGACAGUGGGAUGCAACGCCGAGAGGCGAAGCUAAUCUCCAAACGUAGUCGUAGUUCGGAUUGCGGGCUGAAACCCGCCCGCAUGAAGCUGGAUUCGGUAGUAAUCGCGUGUCAGAAGCGCGCGGUGAAUACGUCCCUGCUCCUUGCACACACCGCCCGUCAAAGCACCCGAGUGGGGUCCGGAUGAGGCCGUCAUGCGACGGUCGAAUCUGU
rnacentral:rRNA from 1 species